AUUAUGUUUCUGACUGUUAAAUAGUUCUUUUACAAAUAUGAAAUUAAAAUUUAGGUGAAAGUUAUAAUUUUGUGUGUUUGUUUACAUAUGUUUAAAAAUAUGUACAAUUGAUAUUGUUAUAGAUUUAGUAACCUGAAAAGAAAAGGUAAGCUGGUAGAACCGACAACAGAAAAUAAUGAAAAUAGUCAGGUUAACGAUAAAAAAGAAGUUUAUGGCGAAAAUGAUGACUUUAAUCUGACAGGAGACAAUGAAGAUGAUAAUAAAUAUGAGGAAGACAUCGCCAAUCUUGCAAAAAAAAUUUGUCUUGUAUGGAAAGUGAAUGAUUGGGUUGCUGUUGCUUAUGAAAAACAAUGGAAUAUUGGAUAUAUUGUGGAGGUAUCUAUAACUGGGAUCAGAGUUAAUUGUAUGAUUAACGGGCAAGAGAAGAAUACUUUUCGCUGGCCAGUUACUACCGAGGAGAUAAAUAACCAAACUGAUAAAAUUAUCUGUUUAGUAAAUGCUCCUUUUCUAAUCAGUGGUUGUGGCGAUUAUUCAUUAUCCGAAGAAGACUAUAAUACAGUCAUAUCAUUAUUCUUA